rnacentral:rRNA from 1 species
AUUGAACGCUAGCGGGAUGCUUUACACAUGCAAGUCGAACGAGUGGCGGACUGGUGAGUAAUAUAUCGGAACGUGCCCAGUAGCGGGGGAUAACUACUCGAAAGAGUGGCUAAUACCGCACACUAUUGGAGCGGCCGCUAUCGGAUUAGCUAGUUGGUGGGGUAAAGGCUCACCAAGGCAACGAUCCGUAGCUGGUUUGAGAGGGUGACAAGCCACACUGGGACUGAGACACGGAACAGACUCCUACGGGAGGAAGAAGUGGGGAAUUUUGGACAAUGGGGGAAACCCUGAGCCAGCCAUCCCGCGUGUAUGAGAAGGCCUUCGGGUUGUAAAGUACUGUUGGCAGAGAAGCGGUAUCUAAAGAAUAAGCACCGGCUAACUACGUGCCAGCAGCCGCGGUAAUAC